CAGGUCCUUUGGGCCCACCUCCCAUCCGUGUCUAUUGUACCCUGUUGCUUCGGCGGGCCCGCCGCUUGUCGGCCGCCGGGGGGGCGCCUCUGCCCCCCGGGCCCGUGCCCGCCGGAAACCCCAACACGAACACUGUCUGGAAGCGUGCAGUCUGAGUUGAUUGAAUGCAAUCAGUUAAAACUUUCAACAAUGGAUCUCUUGGUUCCGGCAUCGAUGAAGAACGCAGCGAAAUGCGAUAACUAAUGUGAAUUGCAAAAUUCAGUGAAUCAUCGAGUCUUUGAACGCACAUUGCGCCCCCUGGUAUUCCGGGGGGCAUGCCUGUCCGAGCGUCAUUGCUGCCCUCAAGCCCGGCUUGUGUGUUGGGUCGCCGUCCCCCUCUCCGGGGAGGACGGGCCCGAAAGGCAGCGGCGGCACCGCGUCCGAUCCUCGAGCGUAUGGGGCUUUGUCACAUGCUCUGUAGGAUUGGCCGGCGCCUGCCGACGUUUUCCAACCAUUCUUUCCAGGUUGACCUCGGAUCAGGUAGGGAUACCCGCUGAACUUAAGCAUAUCAAUAGGCCAGAAGGA
rnacentral:rRNA from 1 species